rnacentral:lncRNA from 1 species
GAGCUGUACCAAAGGAGACCAAGUCAGAUUCAGCCUUGAAUGCUCAUGUCUCCAAAAAGCCUGCUCCUGCCAAAGCCAAGAACAGUCGCAAGAGGAAGCCAUCUUCUUCUGACAGCUCGGACUCUGAGUUUGAGAAGGCGAUUUCUAAAGGUGCCACAAGCAAGGUAUUUAUCACUGCUUACUCAUCCGCCCUAGGUGUCUGUCCUACGUAGGUUUUGCUCUUAAUUUUCCAUAUUUUUAAGGAAGUAAAUUUUAAACCUCAGAGUUCAUUCCCAUUUCGCUGUAGGAGGUUUAAUCUGUCAGUCAUUUGCUGUGGACCUUUUCCUCACUACUUAGUAGAAGGUGGGGAGUGACCCCAGAGCCCUGGGAGCUGCCCCUGUGCAUUAACCACGGGAAAUUACUUGGAUUUUCUCUUUUUAGAAACCCAAGGGAGAGGAGCGGGAUUUCCAUGUGGACUUAGAUGACACUGUGGCUCCUCGAGCAAAAUCCGGACGAGCAAGGAAGCCGAUUAAGUACCUGGAGGAGUCGGAUGACGACCUCUUCUAAGGGGUGAGGGGAUUUCAGGAAUGGUUUUACUGAGCCACGUUAGUUUUAAAGUUCUUCCUUAACCACUCUGAAUUUAAUUGGAGGAAGACUUUUUUUUAAAUAAGAAUAUGCAAGUGAGCAGGGCCCCUGUGGCCUUCACCUUUGUUCUCAACAUACUGUCAGUAGUGGCCGUCUCGUGGGCAUUGUCGUCUUCUCUGAUUGUCUGUUUUAUGUCUGUUUUCUUUGGUCUCUGAAACCUGGCUUGAAUAUUUUUUGGAUUCCACAUAAUUAUAUGCUUACUCAGCACAGUAGCAUUUAUCAAUUUAAACUAAAGUGGAAAUGGUUUCAAAAGCAUUCCUGC